GGAAGUAAAAGCCGUAACAAGGUCUCCGUAGGUGAACCUGCGGAGGGAUCAUUACAGAGUUCAUGCCCUACCGGGUAGAUCUCCCACCCUAUGUUAUUAUUACUUUGUUGCUUUGGCGGGCCGUUAGGCUCCGGCCCGACUACCGGCCCCGGCUGGUAAGCGCCCGCCAGAGGACCCAAAACCCUGAAUAUUAGUGUCGUCUGAGUACUAUAUAAUAGUUAAAACUUUCAACAACGGAUCUCUUGGUUCUG
rnacentral:misc_RNA from 1 species